rnacentral:rRNA from 1 species
GAAACAAAAACGACUCUCGGCAACGGAUAUCUCGGCUCUCGCAUCGAUGAAGAACGUAGCGAACUGCGAUACCUGGUGUGAAUUGCAGAAUCCCGUGAACCAUCGAGUCUUUGAACGCAAGUUGCGCCCGAAGCCAUUAGGCCGAGGGCACGUCUGCCUGGGCGUCACGCAUCGCG